rnacentral:rRNA from 1 species
GACGAACGCUGGCGGCGUGCCUAAUACAUGCAAGUAGGACGCAGUUGCGAACGGGUGAGCAACGCGUAGGUAACUACCUAUUAGUGGGGGAUAACUAUUGGAAACGAUAGCUAAUACCGCAUACUAGUAGAUGGACCUGCGUUGUAUUAGCUAGUAGGUAGGGUAAUGGGCUACCUAGGUAACGGUACAUAGCCGACCGGGGAGGGUGGUCGGCCCAACGGGGACUGAGCAACGGCCCAGACUCCUACGGGGAGGAGCAGUAGGGGAUCUUCGGAAAUUGGGGGAACCCUGACCGAGCAACGCCGCGUGAUUGAAGAAGGUUUUCGGAUCGUAAAGCUCUGUUGUUAAGGAAGCGGUACUUAACCAGAAAGGGACGGCUAACUACGUGCCAGCAGCCGCGGUAAUAC